AGGUACAGGUAGCCUAUGGAUAACUUUGGAAUAGGUCGGUGAGCUUGGAUCAACAUCCACUGUGGCUAGAAAAUCAGGCUUCUCAAUUCCAGUUCCGUUGUAGACGCAGGUGACGUAGAUCAAGGUCUCGCGGGGGCCGGACAUGGCUUCGAGCGGCGAAGCAUAGCCGGGGCCCUUCGCGGCGCUGUGGGCGCAGCAGGCCGCGGCGGUGCCAUUGCCGGCGACUGAGGCUUCGACUUCUACAGCUCCGGCCAUUGUAGAUCACUCACGGGGACUUGGACCGAUCUUAUCACUGACAGAUAAAUAGAAAGAGAGAGACGCGUCACGAGAAAAAUUAAGAGACGGAAUUGGCGAAGUCAGCGGUGUUUGUCGGGUAUUGGUUGGACGAUGCACGGUGAU
rnacentral:misc_RNA from 1 species